rnacentral:rRNA from 1 species
UACGGGGGGGGCUAGCGUUGUUCGGAAUUACUGGGCGUAAAGGGCGCGUAGGCGGUCUGCUAAGUUGGAUGUGAAAACUCUGGGCUUAACCCAGAGCCUGCAUUCAAUACUGACAGGCUAGAGUUCUGGAGGGGAUAGCGGAAUUCCUGGUGUAGCGGUGAAAUGCGUAGAUAUCCGGAGGAACACCGGUGGCGAAGGCGGCUUCCUGGACCGACACUGACGCUGAGGCGCGAAAGCUAGGGGAGCAAACGGG